UACGUAGGCAGCGAGCGUUGUUCGGAGUUACUGGGCGUAAAGCGUGCGUAGGCGGUGUCUCAAGUUUGUUGUGAAAUCUCCCGGCUCAACCGGGAGGGUGCGGCGAAUACUGAGAUGCUGGAGCGCGGGAGAGGUAAGCGGAAUUCCUGGUGUAGCGGUGAAAUGCGUAGAUAUCAGGAGGAACACCUGCGGUGUAGACGGCUUACUGGACCGUAACUGACGCUGAGGCACGAAAGCGUGGGUAGCAAACAGG
rnacentral:rRNA from 1 species